UACGGAGGGUGCAAGCGUUAUCCGGAUUCACUGGGUUUAAAGGGUGCGUAGGUGGGCAGGUAAGUCAGUGGUGAAAUCUCCGGGCUUAACUCGGAAACUGCCAUUGAUACUAUCUGUCUUGAAUACCGUGGAGGUUAGCGGAAUAUGUCAUGUAGCGGUGAAAUGCUUAGAGAUCGGGAAGAACACCAGUGGCGAAGGCGGCAUCCUGGACCGGCAUUGACGCUGAGGCGCGAAAGCCAGGGGAGCAAACGGG
rnacentral:rRNA from 1 species